UAAAAACAAAGUUUUCUGUCUUUUUAUGAGGCAAAUUUAGCCACAUAGAGUAAUAACAUGCCAAGCCAAAACCACCAGCCCCACUAAAAAUGACAUGAAAAAUUCCAAAUUCAUGAGCUAUAUUUGCUGACCAUCCAAAAAACAUGUCUGAUAUAACACAAAGUGGCUUUUCAAUAAGACUAGAAAGAAGAUUUCUACAUGAAGGUCCAAGUGAAGAGGAAAUUGUUGCAAAAUGUACAGAGAGUUUAUAAGAAAGUGAAUCAGUGUUUUCUAUGAAGGUUCAAGUGAAGAGGAAAUUGUUGUAAAAUGUACAGAGAGUUUAUAAGAAAGUGAAUCAGUGUUUUCAGUGUUUGGAGGCAGACCAUGUUCUGAACUAUUGAAUGGAAUUUCAACAAGGGAAAUAGAUGAAUUUUGUGGUAGAGAUAAUUUGAGUUUCUUGAUAUUGAGAGGUGUAUUCACA
rnacentral:lncRNA from 1 species